rnacentral:rRNA from 1 species
UACGUAGGGGGCGAGCGUUGUCCGGAUUUAUUGGGCGUAAAGAGCUCGUAGGCGGUUGGGUAAGUCGGAUGUGAAAACUCAGGGCUCAACUCUGAGACGCCACUCGAUACUGCUCUGACUCGAGUCCGGUAGGGGAGCGUGGAAUUCCCGGUGUAGCGGUGAAAUGCGCAGAUAUCGGGAGGAACACCAGUGGCGAAGGCGGCGCUCUGGGCCGGAACUGACGCUGAGGAGCGAAAGCGUGGGUAGCAAACAGG